CUUCACGCCGCUCGGAGUCACGCUUAGAGUUCUUCGGACUGCUAAUUUUUUGUGUUUGUUCCCUCUCGUAAAAAAAGAGAGAGAAAAAGCCCCGUAAAAGAGGGGCGCACCCGGCGGGAAUACACCCGCGGCCCGAGGGGUGCUUUAUAUUUUUGAUUUUAGGGCGUUCGGCCGGUUCUUUGAAACCUUGGGGAAAUACCGCAAGCUCAUUGUUCAAUUUUCCUAGGACCUGCAAGUCUCGGGGCCGGAGAGGGUUCGAGUUACUCUCGGGGUGGGUGUAAUAUCUUGUAUCCUGAGAGAACCACCCGGGGGGAAGGGGUCGAAAUUAGAACGAUCCCGAGGGUAUGGAAGAAAGCCUGGGGCGCCAAACGGUAUUAGACACCCCGGAGUCCUGGGUGUAAACACCCGCCGGGCUUGGGGUCGAAGUCCCUAAAAGAAUUUCGGUGCCCGAAAAAAAUUUUAAAACUGCCGUUUGGGAAGCCGGCCCAAGUGUAAACUUUAAAGAAUUGGCGGGCAACCCCCCACGGGGGGGCCUGGUUUCCAUUUGUUUCCCCCCACAAUUACCCGGGGGGGGGUAUAUUGAGGCAUGUUGGACACCUUUCCUGAUUUUGGAAGGUGGGGUUGGCCGUCGUCUUUCUACCCGUAGGGGUUUGUUAAAUAAAAUAAAAAGGAAACCUCCUUGCUAUUAGCGGCGGUUCCGGAGGGGGGGGGCCAUUAGCGGACCCCCCGCCUAAAAUGAGGAAGGUAACCCCACCGGUAGGUGUUUUGCCCUACCCCUGGGUAACCGGGCCUAAAAGGGCAAGAAAAAGGGGUCAAUCCGAAAGCCCCGGUAUUCCGAACCUGCCCGAUUUCAAUUGAGGGUUAUACCCCCCCCCCGACUGGGAUUCGUAAAAAGCCGUUUAAAUCAGCGGGAAAUUUCCCUGGGCUCUUGUUACAGGGGGGGGGAGUCGAUAAACCGGGGGCUCCCCCCUUUGGGGGGGUAUUUCUGAACUGGGCAAUAUGGUUUUUUUUUUGUUCAGAGAAAA
rnacentral:rRNA from 1 species